UACGAAGGGGGCUAGCGUUGCUCGGAAUCACUGGGCGUAAAGGGUGCGUAGGUGGCGCGGUAAGUCGGGUGUGAAAUCUCGGAGCUUAACUCCGAAAUUGCAUUCGAUACUGCCGUGCUCGAGGACUGGAGAGGAGACUGGAAUUCAUGGUGUAGCAGUGAAAUGCGUAGAGAUCAUGAGGAAGACCAGUGGCGAAGGCGGGUCUCUGGACAGUUCCUGACACUGAGGCACGAAGGCCAGGGGAGCAAACGGG
rnacentral:rRNA from 1 species